UGUGGCAGAAUUCAAAAACAUAUGUCUUCUCAUCAAAGAAAAAAAAAAAUUGCCCUUUAACCUUAGGCACAUAUGUAAAACCAAAAGCACAAAUCUCCACCAUUCUCCUUAAAAAGCUUCCUUUCACACACGGCAAGCACUUUGAGCAGG